rnacentral:piRNA from 1 species
AAUGGGUAUGUGUGGAAUGCCAGGAA